AGCAGAUAGGAUCACUUACAGAGUCACAGGUGACCGGUGAGAGCGGGUGGCUGCGCCAGACUCACACUUGCGGAAUUUAUAGAGGGGUAGGUGGCCCAGCGUUGACGAUGCUUACUUCUGCAGAACUCGCUCGCGCGGUCCUCCGCCAUCCCAACCCACCACCACCCCCUAAUUAUAUAGAACUUCUAUAUAUAUAAAUAUAAAUAUAUUAUAUGAAUGUGAGUGUAUGUAUAAUGUUCUAUGGCAAACACACCCUUUUCCUUUCAUACCCAUCAAUUUUCAGGCUAAGCGAAGGACAGUGAGAACUAUGUAGCGUCUCACAAUGUGGGAAUCACUCUUUGAACUGGAAGAAGCUUUUUGGAUGUGUACUUGAUGAUCAGCAAAAAGAUAUAAAGAGAAACUCCAGGGAACAAAGGAAGGAGGUGCAACAAUGCAAUGGUUGGACGACUGGUUUGUAUGUUGAAAGAGAGGUGGUCCAGCCGCAUGAUUGAUGUUGUGUAAGUGACCAAUGAGCCAUAAGAUUCUAAAAAUUAAGAUAUUGACAGCUUGUUAGUUGAUCGAAAUGGAAAGUCCAAAGUAGCAGAAGAAGAUCCUAUAAAUGGUUUAAGAUGCCAAGAAGUUGAUUUAGUGAAGUACCAAUAUACCCUUGUACUAAUCAGAGUGUACUAUAUCACAAUAGUGGCAAUAAAUAUAUACCCAUGAUAUAUAUAUGUUCAUUGAAAUGAUGGCUUGAACAAUGGACGACAGUUUGAAGAGAAAAA